CACAGCAAAAAAGCACGCAAAAUGAGCGAACGCAAACAAAUAUUGUAUUCGGUUCAAUAAAUUGAUAGAAAUAUUAAUGAUGCAAAAGUGUUGCAUUAGUAUUAUGCAAACGGAAAUCUGAUAUAUUCCGUCUGUACACACAUACAUAUGCAUAAAUAUACACACUGCAAAACAGAACGCACGUGGAACAAUAGCAGCCGCAGCCGCAGUCGCAGUCGCCGUUGCAGUCGCCGUUACAGUCGCAGUCGCAGUCAAAGCCCUCAGACACCAGACGGAGUUACAGGCGCAGGCACAGUCCCAAGCACAGGCACAAACAAAAGCCAACGACAUUGGAUUGCGGCUUGUUCUGUGACCCACGACACUGGCAGACGCUGGACAUAAUCGUUCAAUGACAGCAGCCACAGUUGCUGCCACCGCCUCUGCCUCUGCCGCGGCGCCGUCGUCCUCAUCGUCGCCGUCCGCUGUAAGCAACGCGCGCAGUUAACGCACAGCAGCAGCAGCAGCAGGAGACACUGUUUGAUCCGGUCUCAGCAGCGGACCAAUUGACAGCCAAGAAGUGCACUUCCCUGUGACGGAUACGGCUGUAGUUAAAGACUAUUUACAGA
rnacentral:sRNA from 1 species